CGAACGCUGGCGGCGGGCUUAACACAUGCAAGUCGAACGCGAACGUCACCUUCGGGUGGCUAUUAGAGUGGCGCACGGGUGAGUAACAGGUGGGUAAUCUACCCUACGGCCUGGGAUAACAUUCCGAAAGGGGUGCUAAUACCGGAUACGUUCUACGAGGCCUUGGCUUUGUAGAGGAAAGGCGGUCUUCGGAUUGUCACCGUUGGAUGAGCCCGCUUUCCAUCAGCUUGUUGGUAGGGUAACGGCCUACCAAGGCAACGACGGAUAGCUGGUCUGAGAGGAUGAUCAGCCACACUGGGACUGAGACACGGCCCAGACUCCUACGGGAGGCAGCAGUGGGGAAUUUUGGGCAAUGGGCGAAAGCCUGACCCAGCCACGCCGCGUGAGUGAUGAAGGCCUUCGGGUCGUAAAGCUCUGUCAGGAGGAACGAAACUAACGGGGUAAUGCCCGGAAUUGACGGUACCUCCAAAGGAAGCACCGGCUAACUCU
rnacentral:rRNA from 1 species